rnacentral:rRNA from 1 species
GUGGGGAAUAUUGGACAAUGGGCGAAAGCCUGAUCCAGCCAUGCCGCGUGUGUGAAGAAGGUCUUCGGAUUGUAAAGCACUUUAAGUUGGGAGGAAGGGCAGUAAGUUAAUACCUUGCUGUUUUGACGUUACCAACAGAAUAAGCACCGGCUAACUUCGUGCCAGCAGCCGCGGUAAUACGAAGGGUGCAAGCGUUAAUCGGAAUUACUGGGCGUAAAGCGCGCGUAGGUGGUGCAGCAAGUUGGAGGUGAAAUCCCCGGGCUCAACCUGGGAACUGCCUCCAAAACUGCAUGACUAGAGUACGGUAGAGGGUAGUGGAAUUUCCUGUGUAGCGGUGAAAUGCGUAGAUAUAGGAAGGAACACCAGUGGCGAAGGCGACUACCUGGACUGAUACUGACACUGAGGUGCGAAAGCGUGGGGAGCAAACAGGAUUAGAUACCCCAGUAGUCC